UACGGGGGGGGUAAGCGUUGUUCGGAAUUACUGGGCGUAAAGAGCGCGCAGGCGGUCGAUCAAGUCGCGUGUGAAAGCCCCCGGCUCAACUGGGGAGGGUCACGCGAUACUGAUCGACUCGAAGGCAGGAGAGGGUAGUGGAAUUCCCGGUGUAGUGGUGAAAUGCGUAGAUAUCGGGAGGAACACCAGUGGCGAAGGCGACUACCUGGCCUGUUCUUGACGCUGAGGCGCGAAAGCUAGGGGAGCAAACGGG
rnacentral:rRNA from 1 species